AAAUCUACAUGGCCCCAGGAUGGGACUGCGGCCGAUCAGGUUGUUGGUGGGGUAAUGGCCCACCAAGCCUAUAACCGGUGCGGGCUCUGAGAGGAGGAGCCCGGAGAUGGGCACUGAGACAAGGGCCCAGGUCCUAUGGGGCGCAGCAGGCGCGAAACCUCCGCAAUGGGCGAAAGCCCGACGGGGUCAGUCCGAGUGGUUCCCGCUGAGGGAACCUUUUGCCAGCUGUAAACAGGCUGGCGAAUAAGGGGUGGGCAAGUUUGGUGUCAGCCGCCGCGGUAAUACCAGCACCCCGAGUGGUCGGGACGAUUAUUGGGCCUAAAGCAUCCGUAGCCGGCCCAGUAAGUCCUCCGUUAAAUCCAACGGCUCAACCGUUGGGCUGCGGGGGAUACUGCUGGGCUAGGGGACGGGAGAGGCGAGGGGUAUUCCCGGGGUAGGGGUAAAAUCCACUGAUCCCGGGAGGACCACCAGUGGCGAAGGCGCCUCGCUAGAACGUGCCCGACGGUGAGGGAUGAAAGCUGGGGGAGCGAACCGGAUUAGAUACCCGGGUAGUCCCAGCCGUAAACGAUGUAGGCUCGGUGUUGGGCUGCCUCAGUGGCAGCCCAGUGCCGCAGGGAAGCCGUUAAGCCUACCGCCUGGGGAGUACGGCCGCAAGGCUGAAACUUAAAGGAAUUGGCGGGGGA
rnacentral:rRNA from 1 species